CCUACGGGUGGCUGCAGUCGAGAAUCUUCGGCAAUGAGCGCAAGCUUGACCGAGCGACGCCGCGUGUGGGAUGAAGGCCCUCGGGUUGUAAACCACUGUCGUAGGGGAGGAAGGCUCCGUGAAGAGCGGGGCUUGACCUAUCCUAGGAGGAAGUACGGGCUAAGUUCGUGCCAGCAGCCGCGGUAAGACGAACCGUACGAACGUUAUUCGGAAUUACUGGGGUUAGAGGGUUUGCGGGCAACUUAGGUGUGAAAGCCCUCGGCUCAACCGAGGAAUAGCGCUUGAUACUGCAAGGCUUGAGGGAGACAGGGGUAAGCGGAACUGAUGGUGGAGCGGUGAAAUGCGUUGAUAUCAUCAGGAACACCGGUGGCGAAAGCGGCUUACUGGGUCUCUUCUGACGCUGAGGAACGAAAGCUAGGGGAGCGAACGGGAUUAGAUACCCCAGUAGUC
rnacentral:rRNA from 1 species